rnacentral:rRNA from 1 species
UACGUAGGGGGCAAGCGUUGUCCGGAAUCAUUGGGCGUAAAGCGCGUGUAGGCGGUCCGGUAAGUCGGCUGUGAAAGUCCAGGGCUCAACCCUGGGAUGCCGGUCGAUACUGCCGGACUAGAGUUCGGAAGAGGCGAGUGGAAUUCCCGGUGUAGCGGUGAAAUGCGCAGAUAUCGGGAGGAACGCCAAUGGCGAAGGCAGCUCGCUGGGACGUUACUGACGCUGAGACGCGAAAGCGUGGGGAGCAAACAGG